AACUGUACACUGAACAAAAAAAGAAAUUCUUAAGGAAUUUAGUAAAAUACUUAUCUUAGUGAGCUGAAUUAAUAUUGUUUUCCUUUACCUUUUUAACCUAAAUUCCUUGAGAGGGGAAGAGGGCAACCUUAUUAUAAGACAAGUGAAUUUGAGUUUUCAUUCAGUAGUAAAUAGCUUCUUUUUUAACUAAGAACAUACGUAUUGUGAGUAUCUAUUUACCACAAUAAGAACGCUAUGGUGGGCUGCUUUGGCCUUAGUAGUUUCAUGACGUUCAAGGCCUCCUAGUUUCUUAAACGGUGAAUUAUACUACAAGACUGUUCCCUAACGGAUCUU